AAACCGUUCAGGGGUAAACCUGAGAAACCCAAAAGAUCGAAUGGGGAGAUUCAUCGUCAGCUGCGUUGGCUUGCGUGCGGCUCGCGAUGCUCGUUGGCGUUUCGGCGUUUUCAACGGGUACGCGGUCGCUGCGUUAUGUCCGAUGUUAGUCGGCGUGCACUUCUCCCCUAGUAGGACGUCGCGACCCGUUGGGUGUUGGUCUACGGCCUGCGAGGUUGACUGACGAGCCGCGUUCACGCGCGCGCUUGUCAGACCCGUGGUGCCCGGCCGACUGCCCGGCGGUAAAGAUCGCUAUUCGAAUGGUAUCGAGCCGCAUUUUGAAUGCGUUCAUUUUGGCUCGUCGGCAGGUGAGCCUCGCUUGAAUUUUACGGACCUAGUGCCGUUGUCGAGUGCUUGUCGCUUGCCGUUUCGCCGACGAUGUCCUCGGACGGGCUCUUGUAACGCGCGUUUACUGCGCGUUUACCGGUCGGCGACGCUUCUGCUUUGGGUACUUUCAGGACCCGUCUUGAAACACGGACCAA
rnacentral:rRNA from 1 species